AGAUGAGAAGAUUUAAGUCUUUGGCACUCCUGGUGGGUUUGGCGUGAAACGAAGGAUGAACAUCUGGAAAAGUAAAGCCCCAGUGAACAGAAGCAAUAACGGCACUGCUGUUUUACGCCGACAUUAACGCGGAAAACACCAGUGGCUACACGAAUGAGUCCCUGCAGACGGUCUGGUGCGCAGCAAUGAGCCAUCGCUGGGUUCUAGCGUUGACUCAUCCCUCGACUUCCAGGGCAGGAUGACCUCCCACAGUCUCGUUUCACCUGAAUAAGCACCAUGCUGCUCUCACAUCAUCAUCAAGAUAAGGUUUGUGACUGCCUGACGUCCUUCCACUCCAUUUUCGUGUUCUGAAGGGCCUGCGUCUUCUUCUCAUCCACCUGCACGUAGUCCACUUUGUAGUCAUCAGAGAGAAAUGGCUUCUGCUGGACAUAACAAACGAGAGAGAGAGCGAGAUGGUAAAGAGAUGUGGUGAGAUGUAAUUUACACAUUACUUGAGUACGUUUUCUUUAAGGGACAUUGCUCUUGUUCAGGAAGUAAAGUACUUAUGAGCCUCCAGUUUACCAGAACCUGGUCUGGUUAUUUUUUUUUUAAGAUAGACCAUGUUAUAUAAAUCCAUGUAUAAAUUUUAGACUGCAGCAAAAGUAUGAUUCCUCAAAUUGCAACUAACCACUUGAAGCAAUUCAGUCUGCUUCCAAAUGGAGUGCUUGUUGACCACUGUCUACUGCAGAAUAAACAUUGUAUUGUCUAAAACAACUCAGAAGUACUACAGCCUCACUCAUGUACCCCUUCAAACCGUGAACUCUCCCUUGUACAAAAAAGCUAUAUUUGCUCCAAUUAUCAUACAUUGGGACAUGCAUUUUUGAUUCAAUGUGGAACA